rnacentral:siRNA from 1 species
GUAACGACCAGAAACUCAGAUAAG